GCCUGGGUGGCUCAGUCGGUUGAGCGUCUGACUUCGGCUCAGGUCAUGAUCUCACGGUCUGUGAGUUUGAGCCCCGCGUCGGGCU
rnacentral:tRNA from 1 species